UUAUUCGAAUAAAAUUUCGCCCAUCCCGGUUCGCAGUCCUGUCAGCUUUUCCUCGCUCGCGUCGGGACGAGCAAUCAUGGGAAAUGAUUGCGCGAAAUUAGUAUGAUCGACCGAUGAACCGUGCGGUUGCGUUGCAGCGUCGAAUAACAGCUAUUAAUGCUUGUUCGAUUAAUGCAACUCAUCGUUGCCGAGUAAUAACGCGUAGUUACAGGACAGACAGUCUUUUAUUUGUGGCUAGCCAUCGCGGACGGGAAGUUUUUCAAUUCAGACACAACCGAUUAUCGAACAGUGCUGAAUUCGCAAGUGUUCCUUGGAUUAGAAUAGGAGAAAGGAGAUACUCUUCACAGCGCAUAGACCUUUGAAUCGUCUGAAAUUCAUAUCUCGGUUUAUUCGCACGUAUUUUAUUCCGCGCGGGAAUAUGCGUAGGAGAUCGUUCGAUUUCUAUGAGCAGAAUCGACGAAACGGAUGGUUAGUGGCCGGAUCACGUUUGAAACGAUGCUGGACGCGAAGGGGAAGAAGCAGGGCGCCGCUGUAAGAGAUGGGAUCAAGAUCACUCGGUCGACUGGUUAAUGCGAUGCAACACGGUCGCCGUAACGGAUCCGUUGUAGAGCAACUGGUUAAGAAUCGCUUCUUCUCCUUCGAUGCUUUAUAGCGUGAACA